AGAGGAAGAGAAUUACUGGUGGAAUUCUAGCAUUAGUGUUUACUGAAACUUUGAAGAGCCAACUACCCUGCCUUUCUAAUUCGACCUAAAAUGGCCUUGUCUCUGCUAUCUUCCUAUAAACGCAAUUUGAAUUACCUUUUGGUUUGAAAGGAGCUAUCUCCCAAGCAUUAUCAUUGUCAUUGCUCAAGGCCAAUUACCUUCGCAUACUCUUCUAUUCGUUUGCCAUUUUUGGCAGUUUUCAGGUAGCUCAGUCAUCGAAUGUGUAGUAGGCGCUGGUAUAGGCAAACAUAUUUUUUUUCGCCUGAACUUAGGCACUAUUUGUUUUUCUUGAUAUAUGUUAGAUUUUCCGUGUCAGGUGUGGUUUAAAUUUGGUAGUCGAUAGCCUAGACUCAGUCUUUCUUUCUCCUCGUGGCUUUUGAAGCGGCAAGUUGUGGUUUCGGAAAAUUUCAGUGUGUCUCGUUCUAGCCAAGAAUAAAUAUACCUAUAAAAGUGAGUACGCACUAUCGACCGCUAAAUGUCUAAACUGUGCCUGUUCCAAAAAGGGAAUUGGCACCUAGUCUACAUAUUACACAGAAUAGUGGCCACUUUACAUCGACUUAAUAGUAGCAAAGUCAACAAGCUGCUUCCGGAGCUUUAAAGUCGUGUAAUAUCCACCAGCUGAUCAGCUCGACAGAUCAGUGAACUUUUGCUGCGCGGGGCCGGCCGGCUGAUCGAGCCAAGAGAGAGGAUUUGACGUGUAACCGGCGGUGUUAUGACCUAGGAAAUCAUAGUAGUACCUAAAUCCAAAGUUCCUACGCUCAGGCUGGGUCAGCGAAAACAAAUCGACGGGCCAGUGCGGAGAUCGGUAACCGCGUGCGAACCUAACCUCAAAUGGAAUUAGUAGCAGUGUCAGAAUAAUUUCUGGUUCAUUUAACCCCCCAUUCCAACGGAAUCUAAGUAGGAUAGCGAGGAGGUCCACAUAUAGUCAGAAAAUAGCCCGUUUGUUUGAAGCUCGAAAGAAAAUAUAAAAUAAAAACAAAAAAAUUGAUAAAGCAACUCGGGGCUGAAGAGAAGCAAGUUUGAGAUCAAAAGUGUCCGACCAGUGAGCUAAUGUCAGCCAGCAGAAGCGGGGGAAGUAACUUUGCAGGUAAACUCCGGUUGAAUUCUCCCUCCCACACAGAGUCACCAGCUACGAAAGAUCUUUCGCCGCGGGAAACCAACUCGUUGUCCGUCGGUCACUGACCUCAAGCUUUUGUCUGAAAACCAGCUGUUCUUUUUCAAAGCAAAAGAAAAUGUAACAAAACAAAAUAAAGGAACCUAAACUAAAAGCGACCCUACCAGAUUACAAACAGCAGUAUGUUAUAAAGGGCCGUUCCUAUUUGCUAAGCAAUCCGUUGGCCGUAGAAAUAUUGCGGUAUAUUUAUAAAUUUUCAGUAAGGAAAAUAAUUAAUAUAUAGUGCUUUAUAUUAUAUUGGUUACUUUUAUAUGUGAACUUAUUCCUAAUUAUAUUAUUUAUUUCUAUGAUUAUCUUUAGUACACCUAUAUGGCAUUAGAAUAAUCGAUUUAUUUCAGUUUGGUCUAAGGUUUUCUUUGUUGUUAGUGUGGGGGAGAAAAGUGUAAAUGAAUUUAGGUUAUAAUAAAACCCGGAUGUCUAUGUGCUAGAGAAUUUUUGUUUAGGAGCCAUGCAGGGAUUGGUGUGGGAGAGUGGGGUUUAACCCCGACGAGAAAAGGGAUCAUCCGUAAGCCAUAUUUUCUCAGGAAUUUGGGUCCGUCGGGUCGGAUAUGCAAUGCGGAAGCCAACUUCCCUUUAAUUCCUUUAUCCCUUCUAAUUCCCCCCAUCCUCCUCCCCCUGACACUAGUCAUACAGUCGUACGCCGGGUAUUGCACGCGAACAAAAAAAAAUUAGUAAGAUAAUGGAUCGACGCGAGCACGUAAAGGAAAGGACCAGUAUAGGAACCCCCCCCCAUACUACCGACAAUACAGCCGGAGCCAGCGCGUGCACCAGUCCUGCCCGAUACACCCCCGACCAGCUCGAGUGGCACAGCCACACACAACAAUCGUUAUAGGUGAUAUGCUACAUUUAUCUUAUUUUGGCGUCCAACGUGGGGAGCGAUCCGGCUUGCCCCAUUGACAAAAUUUACCUGAGUCUUAACACCUGACUUACCUAACUUUUUGUUUGUUUUUUUUGCUUUGCUCGUCUUUCCUGUCCAAGAUAUCCGGCGGAUACUGUGGAUCCAUGGAAGCUAUUCAUGGCCUACAUGGUCUAGUAUCGUGUAGGGUAUAUUGGCGUGUAGUUGGUCCGAUACACUGGAAGUGUUAUAACUUUUAUUGGGUAUAACUCCGUGGGUCGAGCUUAGCCUAACAACUAGUUGAAGAUUGUUUUAGGAACUACUGCUGGGAAGGAGAGCGCGCUCCAAAUCGUUUUGGAUGAAAUUCUACGGAGAUUGUCCCUAAUUAAUAGGGUUUUGGCUGUCCCGAACAGCCCUGAGAAGAUUACCGAGGGUGUAAGCCUCAGUAAGCCUAGGUGACUUCGGACUCCCUUACUACCUGAUGGUUAGUGGAACCAAUCUAGCACCUUCUUCAUCCCCAAUACUUCUGAGCUGACCUUUUAGAUUUCGCUGGAUGAGGGAUUUGUACGAUUAGGAAUACAAUUCCUGCCGCGAACUUUACUUGUGAGCCAGAUUUCAGUUAUAAGUAGGUUACCCCAUUCCUGUCCCUUCCCUACCCGAAAACAAUGCAAUCCGCUUUUACUCUAUUGUUACCCAAAAACGAUUGCAUGGCUCCUAAAUUGUUUUGACAUCUACAACUAUUGAUUUUGAUUUUUUAUACCCGAUACUCAAAAUGAGUAUUGGGGUAUAUUAGAUUU